GAUGGGCAUGGUGGAGCAUGCCUGUAGCCCUGGCUAUUCUGAGGCUGAGGCUGGAGGAUUUCUUGAGCCCAAGAAUUCUGGGCUGCUGUGUACUAUGCUGGUUGGGUGUCCAUACUAAGUGAGGCAUCAAUAUGGUUACCCCUUGGGAACGGGGGAUCACAGGUUGCCUAAGGAGGGGUGAACCAGUCCAGGUCAGAAAUGGAGCAGGUCAAAACUCCUGUGCUGGUCUGUAAUAAUUGAAAAUGGGUGUUGUGGUGGCAAAUUGUAAGAGUUUAAAAAUUGUGGUUGCUGUUUUUA
ensembl:misc_RNA Metazoa_SRP Metazoan signal recognition particle RNA